rnacentral:piRNA from 1 species
UCUGGGUCUUAUCAAGGUGGGCUCCUUGUC